GUACUCGCUUUGGCGGUACAUAUACUAAAAUUGGAACGAUACAGAGAAGAUUAGCAUUAAUAAAGCUUUCAUAAAGAAGAAAGUAAUACGUCCAAAUAAAUGUUUUGUUUUG
rnacentral:snRNA from 1 species